rnacentral:rRNA from 1 species
AGAGUUUGAUCCUGGCUCAGGACGAACGCUGGCGGCGUGCCUAAUACAUGCAAGUCGAGCGAACAGAGAAGGAGCUUGCUCCUUCGACGUUAGCGGCGGACGGGUGAGUAACACGUGGGCAACCUACCUUAUAGUUUGGGAUAACUCCGGGAAACCGGGGCUAAUACCGAAUAAUCUGUUUCGCCUCAUGGCGAAACAUUGAAAGACGGUUUCGGCUGUCGCUAUAGGAUGGGCCCGCGGCGCAUUAGCUAGUUGGUGAGGUAACGGCUCACCAAGGCGACGAUGCGUAGCCGACCUGAGAGGGUGAUCGGCCACACUGGGACUGAGACACGGCCCAGACUCCUACGGGAGGCAGCAGUAGGGAAUCUUCCACAAUGGGCGAAAGCCUGAUGGAGCAACGCCGCGUGAGUGAAGAAGGAUUUCGGUUCGUAAAACUCUGUUGUAAGGGAAGAACAAGUACAGUAGUAACUGGCUGUACCUUGACGGUACCUUAUUAGAAAGCCACGGCUAACUACGUGCCAGCAGCCGCGGUAAUACGUAGGUGGCAAGCGUUGUCCGGAAUUAUUGGGCGUAAAGCGCGCGCAGGUGGUUUCUUAAGUCUGAUGUGAAAGCCCACGGCUCAACCGUGGAGGGUCAUUGGAAACUGGGAGACUUGAGUGCAGAAGAGGAUAGUGGAAUUCCAAGUGUAGCGGUGAAAUGCGUAGAGAUUUGGAGGAACACCAGUGGCGAA